CCUACGGGUGGCAGCAGUGAGGAAUAUUGGUCAAUGGGCGCGAGCCUGAACCAGCCAAGUCGCGUGAGGGAUGAAGGUUCUAUGGGUUGUAAACCUCUUUUAUAAGGGAAUAAAGUGUGGGACGUGUCCUUUUUUGUAUGUACCUUAUGAAUAAGGAUCGGCUAACUCCGUGCCAGCAGCCGCGGUAAUACGGAGGAUCCGAGCGUUAUCCGGAUUUAUUGGGUUUAAAGGGUGCGUAUGUGGGUUGUUAAGUCAGUGGUGAAAGUUUGUGGCUCAACCAUAGAAUUGCCAUUGAAACUGGCAGUCUUGAGUAUGGUUGAGGCAGGCGGAAUGCGUGGUGUAGCGGUGAAAUGCUUAGAUAUCACGAAGAACUCCGAUUGCGAAGGCAGCUUGCUAAGCUAUCACUGACGCUGAUGCACGAAAGCGUGGGGAUCAAACAGGAUUAGAUACCCUUGUAGUC
rnacentral:rRNA from 1 species